AUUGAACGCUGGCGGCAUGCUUUACACAUGCAAGUCGGGCGGCAGCGCGGGGGCAACCCUGGCGGCGAGCGGCGAACGGGUGAGUAACACAUCGGAACGUGCCCAAUCGUGGGGGAUAACGUAGCGAAAGCUACGCUAAUACCGCAUACGAUCUACGGAUGAAAGCGGGGGAUCGCAAGACCUCGCGCGAAUGGAGCGGCCGAUGGCAGAUUAGGUAGUUGGUGGGGUAAAGGCUCACCAAGCCGACGAUCUGUAGCUGGUCUGAGAGGACGACCAGCCACACUGGGACUGAGACACGGCCCAGACUCCUACGGGAGGCAGCAGUGGGGAAUUUUGGACAAUGGGCGCAAGCCUGAUCCAGCCAUUCCGCGUGCAGGAUGAAGGCCU
rnacentral:rRNA from 1 species